rnacentral:lncRNA from 1 species
GUGAGGAUGAAUUUCAGGUGCCUUUCUUUUUAAAGAAAAGAAAAGCAAUAUUCUGGAAGUGCUCUUGUUUGCUGCCAUGGUACCUGGCAAUGAAUUUAAUUUGCUAUAUUGCACUCUUCAGAGAACAUGUUUCUGCUGGUGUGUAAGGUCUGGAAGCUGUCUGCAUGCCAAGGCAAUGCCCCCUAAAUGAAGUCUUACAUAAACCCGACAAAUUAUCUUCAGAUAGAAGCCAUCUCAAUGGGCUACGGCACAGCCAUGAAAAUAACUACUGGAGAGAUCAAAGGCUUCAGCUCCCACUUCCUUCCCCUAUAUCCUGCCACCUUUCUGGACACAAAUACUGCCUGAAUGUAUUAAACGGGCCAGUCUCAGGUCAGUACCAAUAGGGAACUCACGAGUGAUUGAAUCACAAAUACAUUUUCUCGUGAGCAUUGCACUCUGGCCCACUUCUCUCCCAUUCGCUCCAAGCUUUACUCACCCCUAAUUUUAAAAGUAACCCUACUGAUGUCCACGGUUUCCCUAAAACCAUGUCCUCAGAAGAGCUUCAAGAGGCCCACAGAUGAAAUUACCAUCAUGGUUCCCUCAAAGAAUUGACUGUUCUAACAAACUCGGGCUCUAGGCAAGCACAGCUCCUAAGCACAUUUUCUGGAUCCUAUGCGUCAUUUGCUUCCUGGGAGUGGCAUUUCUAACCUUUAAAAUGGCAUUGUCUUCCCAAGCCAGGCAAGACCAGAGCUGGGUUAAUGGCUCUGUUCUGUUUUUGAAGAUCCUUAAGGAUCUUCAAACAUAAUCAUACAAUGCAGCCAGCUAUGCAGGGCUCCUGGCACUGAGUGUUGACUCAGGUGUCUUCAGUUUUAUUGUGCAUAAAAAGUACCUGGGGUCUCGUUAAAGUGUAGGUUCUGUUUUACCAGAUUAGGGAGCAGAUUCUAUACUUCUGUCAAACUCCCAGGCCCUACCAAAUCUACUGGCCUCUAGAGAACACUCUGAGAGGUAACAGAGAACAUCUCUGGGAACCCUUCCCUCCCUACUUCUGUGUAAGCAGAAACACCAAUAGCUGGCAUAAGCAAGUGCAGAACC